rnacentral:piRNA from 1 species
AUAUGUCUGUGCACCACGUGC